UGGCGAACGGGUGAGUAAUGCGUGACCAACCUGCCCCAUGCUCCAGAAUAGCUCUUGGAAACGGGUGGUAAUGCUGGAUGCUCCAACUUGACGCAUGUCUUGUUGGGAAAGUGUUUAGUGGCAUGGGAUGGGGUCGCGUCCUAUCAGCUUGUAGGCGGGGUAAUGGCCCACCUAGGCUUCGACGGGUAGCCGGCCUGAGAGGGCGGACGGCCACAUUGGGACUGAGACACGGCCCAAACUCCUACGGGAGGCAGCAGAC
rnacentral:rRNA from 1 species